rnacentral:snRNA from 1 species
AUCACUUCUUAGCCUUUUGGCUAAGAUCAAGUAUAAUUAUAGGAAUAAUAGUCAACCCAUUAUCUGUGAUCUUGGGAGAACUAAUGCAGUUUCCAGUGGAGGGAAUGGGGACACAGAACUCCCCAUAGCUUUCUUAUUCCU